rnacentral:lncRNA from 1 species
ACUUUCUAUCAGCUUCUAAAACAGCUCAAUUAUGAUUUAAGCAAUUCUGUCAACUCCCAAAAUAGUUUAUCAGUACACCAACUACUCAUAUGGUAACUUGAAUAUAGCAUUGGUAAUAUAAAGAACACACAACCAUACCUGCAACAACUUGUAUUCCAACUUAAGCUUCUGUAAAACAACUUAAUUGACAGCUUAUUGCUUCUAAAGGCUUUAAUUUUAACACAAACACUAAACCAUCAAUUCAAACAUACCCCACAACAAUUUAAUUGCUACUUUCUAAACAAUCUGAUGGCAACAGAGCUUGUGGUUGAGUUCAGCUACUGUAGCCUUGCAUGUUGGUAAUUUUGAGUGAAAAUGGAGAAAUAUUUGGAGAAGAUGGGUGAAUAGUGAGGGGGAAUUUUUUUGUUUAGUAUAGUAGAAUCGGAAAUUUUUUUGUUUAGUAAGGGUAAAAUGGUAAAAGAAACAGACAUUGAUUUUUCUAAAUAGUAUAGUAGAUUUUGCAAAUUAAGGUCUAUGUGAAAUUAGUUACUU